CGCCAUGCUCUCGGGGCCCCCAUGCCUUUGGACAUGCUGUUCCUUCUGCCUGGAAUUCCCUUGUCUGCCUGGUGA
rnacentral:miRNA from 1 species